rnacentral:rRNA from 1 species
UACGUAGGUGGCAAGCGUUGUUCGGAAUAACUGGGCGUAAAGGAUGCGUAGGCGGUUAAACAAGUUAUAUGUUAAAUAUAUAGGCUUAACCUGUAGAAAGCAUAUAAAACUGUUUAACUAGAGUGCAGGAGAGGUAAGUGAAAUUCCUAGUGUAGCGGUGAAAUGCGUAGAGAUUAGGAAGAACACCAGUGGCGAAGGCGACUUACUGGACUGUAACUGACGCUGAGGCAUGAGAGCAUGGGGAGCAAACAGG